rnacentral:rRNA from 1 species
GAUGAACGCUAGCGGCAGGCUUAAUACAUGCAAGUCGUGGGGCAGCAGGACUGUAGCAAUACAGUUGCUGGCGACCGGCAAACGGGUGCGGAACACGUACGCAACUUACCCUGAACUGGGGGAUAGCCCGGGGAAACCCGGAUUAAUACCCCGUAAUAUAAUGGAGUGGCAUCACUUUAUUAUUAAAGCUCCGGCGGUUCGGGAUGGGCGUGCGGCUGCUUAGGUAGUUGGUUGAGGUAACGGCUCACCAAGCCUACGAUCAGUAACUGGUGUGAGAGCACGACCAGUGACAGGGGCACUGGGAAACGGGCCCGACUCCUACGGGAGGCAGCAGUAAGGAAGAUUGGGCAAUGGAGGCAACUCUGACCCAGCCAUGCCGCGUGGAGGAUGAAGGCCCUCUGGGUUGUAAACUUCUGUUAUAGGGGACGAAACCUGUGUAUUCUUACGCAGUUGACGGUACCCGAGGAAUAAGCACCGGCUAACUCCGUG